rnacentral:rRNA from 1 species
UCUAAGUUGGUGGUAAACUCCAUNUAAGGCWAAAUAUGGCCACGAGACCNAUANCGAACAAGUACCGUGAGGGAAAGUWGAAAAGAACUUUGAAGAGAGAGUUCAMGAGUACGUGAAACCGUUCAGGGGUAAACCUGAGAAAUMCGAAAGAUCGAAUGGGGUGAUUCAMCGCUGGNUGNGUCGGCUGCCGUGCGGCGCGCGAUGCGCGAGGGCUUGCUCUYKUCGCACGNGUCCGNNGCKGUUAGACCGAYUACGCCGGUGURCACUUCUCMCYUAGUAGGACGUCGCGACCCGUUGGGUAUCGGUNCACGGUCCGGCAUGGUCGACUGUCGCGUAUCGCGCAAGCGAGCACACGGCAGACCGUCGGUGACCCGGCCGAUUGCCCGGCGGUAGUUGAUUGCUCUCAUUGAGGUAAUGGGCCGCAUUAAGUGCGUCAAGGCUCGUAGGCAGGCUCGUCUCGCUCGGUUAUCA